CUGGACUACUAGGGUUUCUAAUCCUGUUUGCUCCCCACGCUGUCGCGCAUCAGCGUCAGCUACUGCCCAGCAGGCCGCCUUCGCCACCGGUGUUCUUCCGGAUCUCUACGCAUUCCACCGCUACACCCGGAAUUCCACCUGCCUCUACAGUGCUCAAGCACGAGAGUAUCGACGGCCGACCCGGAGUUGAGCUCCGGGCUUUCACCGCCGACUGCUCGCGCCGCCUACGCGCCCUUUACGCCCAGUGAUUCCGGACAACGCUCGCACCCUCCGUAUUACCGCGGCUGCUGGCACGGAGUUAGCCGGUGCUUCCUCACCCGGUACCGUCAAUCCGGUCGAAACCGGAAGUUCGUCCCGGGCAACAGUGGUUUACACCCCGAAGGGCGUCCUCCCACACGCG
rnacentral:misc_RNA from 1 species